UACGGAGGGGGCUAGCGUUGUUCGGAAUUACUGGGCGUAAAGCGCGCGUAGGCGGAUCUGCAAGUCGGGGGUGAAAUCCCGAGGCUCAACCUCGGAACUGCCUUCGAUACUGCGGGUCUCGAGUCCGGGAGAGGUGAGUGGAAUUCCUAGUGUAGAGGUGAAAUUCGUAGAUAUUAGGAAGAACACCAGUGGCGAAGGCGGCUCACUGGCCCCGGUACUGACGCUGAGGCG
rnacentral:rRNA from 1 species